rnacentral:misc_RNA from 1 species
AUGGUAGAUUUAUUUUUAUUUUAGACGAAUAAUUUUUACAGCAACCAGGUAAUGAGAAGUAUCAUAAAAGCAAGAUGUACACUAGAUUUCUACAGCAUAGGAAAAUAAAACUUCGGCACGUUUGUACCUCAUGGCUGUUUAGCCAAAAUCUUGGAGGGCAACCAAGUUAUAACGCGUUCCUUUAAAUGACGAUUCCACUUGGAAUCAAAGCAUCCUUGAUGACAGUGACAAUCCCACUCUUGAUGAAGUAUCCAUCUGUUUCCCUAGCCGCUUCUUGAACAUUGUCUUUGUUAAUGAUCUUCACAUUGUCCCCUAUACGAGCAUUCUUGUCGAUAAUGGCUCUUUUGAUGUGACAAUUCUUGCCGAUGCCAAUUGGGACACUGCCCUUUGCAGCCAGCAGCUUCCUGUCAGCAUCAGUCUCGUAGUAAUCUGCCCCCAUCAAAAGUGAGUCUUCUAUAAUUGCUCCCUCUGAUAUGCAUGAUCUGAGCCCAACCACGGAAUGGUGAAUCUUACAGUUCUUGAUCACACAACCUUCACCAAUGACACUAUCUGUGACAUCGGCAUCAAGCAUUUUUGAAGGUGGCAAAUAUCGAGGUUGGGUGUAGAUUGGGGCUGAUCGGUCGUAAAAGCUAAAAUCUGGCACCGGCUUUUUUGUAAUGCCCAAAUUGGCAUUGUAGAAAGCUUCAAUGGUACCAAUAUCUUCCCAGUACCCAUCAUAUAAAUAAGCUUGCACUCUCAUCCCAAAUGAAGUUGCACCAGGAAUAACUUCACUACCAAAAUCAUUGGCCCCAGGAAACUUGUCACGAAGUAGGUUUAACAUCACGUCUUUGCUAAUGACAUAUAUACCCAUACUGGCGAUAAAAGGCAUUUCUUUAGCUCUCUUGUCAUCAAGACCUAAAAUGGUAGUAUCCACUUUCAUUGCUUGCAAUUGCUCUCCUUGCGGUUUCUCUGCAAAUUCAAUAAUGCGUCCUUCUUCAUCAAUCUUCAUGAGACCGAAUGCAGUGGCACGCUUCUCGUCCAUUGGCAGUGCGGCAACGGUAAUAUCAGCAUCUGUUUCCCUGUGGGCUUGAAUAAACUUUUCAUAAUCCAUUCGAUACAGAUGAUCUCCAGCAAGUAUAAGGUAUUCAAGAACAUUAUGCUCCUCAAACAACCACAGAUAUUGUCUGACAGCGUCCGCAGUGCCCUGGAACCAAUCGGGGUUCUCCGGACUUUGUUGAGCAGCAAGAACUUCCACAAAGCCCUCGUUUUUGUAUCCUCCCAUAUUGCUAGCAUAUGCCCGUGAAAGGUGGCGAUUUAGAGAGGCAGAGUUGAAUUGUGUGAGAACAUAGAUCUUGGAUAUGUUACUGUUCAAGCAAUUGCUUACGGGAAUGUCAAUCAGACGAUAAUUUGCUCCAAGUGGAACCGCAGGUUUUGCUCUUUUUUUAGUUAGAGGAUAAAGUCGGGUCCCAGCUCCACCUCCAAGAAUAAUUCCCAAAACACUCCUGCUAGCAUCUGGGUCCAGACAUGUCUGUGAAUUCUGCGAAUCAGAAACAGCCUUAGGAGACACAAUCAAUGGACUUCUUCUCACAUUGAAUCGUACUCCUUGGGAACGUAAGGACGAUACAGGCAUCAACUUGUCUCCGGCGAGAUGAGAAGACGAAAAUGAGAGAUUUCUGCUGGAUAUUGCACGUGUAGAAUCAUUUCUUCUCUCAUUGAUGCAAUUGUGGGAAGAAGGUGAAGAUUUUAAGGCUCCAAUGGAAGCCGCCAUUGUUAACAAAGCUUGCUCUCAACUAUAGAUACUAUAGAGAGUGUGUGGU